ACGGAGGGUGCGAGCGUUAAUCGGAAUUACUGGGCGUAAAGGGCGCGUAGGCGGUUAUAUAAGUGUGGUGUGAAAUCCCAGGGCUCAACCUUGGAACUGCACUUCAAACUGUAUGACUAGAGUGUGAUAGAGGGAGGUAGAAUUUCCGGUGUAGCGGUGAAAUGCGUAGAGAUCGGAAGGAAUACCGGUGGCGAAGGCGGCCUCCUGGAUCAACACUGACGCUGAGGUGCGAAAGCGUGGGUAGCAAACAGG
rnacentral:rRNA from 1 species